CUUGGUCAUUUAGAGGAAGUAAAAGUCGUAACAAGGUUUCCGUAGGUGAACCUGCGGAAGGAUCAUUAAUGAAUUAAAGUCGGUCUUCUGUGCUGGUGGUGACACAUGUGCACGUUGAUCGCAAAUCCACACACCUGUGCACCUUUGACUUUAGGAUCUGCUUGUUGGCUUGUCUGACUUGCAGCUGAUGUUGGUUUUGUGCUCACCUGGAUCUUAGAGUAAUUUUACACACUCUGAAUGUAAUGGAAUGUUCCUGUGCAUAAUGCGCAAAAUACAACUUUCAACAACGGAUCUCUUGGCUCUCGCAUCGAUGAAGAACGCAUCGAAAUGUGAUAAGUAAUGUGAAUUGCAGAAUUCAGUGAAUCAUCUAAUCUUUGAACGCACCUUGCACCCUUUGGUAUUCCAAAGGGUACACCCGUUUGAGUGUCAUUGUAAUCUCACUUCAUCAGCUUUUGUUGAUGGAGGUGGACUUGGACUCUGUUGUGUCAUUACAACUGGUCUGAAAUGUGUGAGUGCACCCUGCUGUUGCAGCGUCCUCAGUGUGAUAAGCAUCUUCACUGAAUCAAGUUCCUUUGGGACACGUGUGUAAUGUGGGCUCUGUGCUGGCAAACUGUCUUUGGACAAUCUUGACAAUUUGACCUCAGAUCGAGUGGGACUACCCGCUGAACUUAAGCAUAUCAAUAAGCGGAGGA
rnacentral:rRNA from 1 species